UACGGGGGGGGCAAGCGUUGUUCGGAAUUACUGGGCGUAAAGGGCUCGUAGGCGGCCAACUAAGUCAGACGUGAAAUCCCCCGGCUUAACCUGGGAACUGCGUCUGAUACUGGGAGGCUUGAGUAUGGGAGAGGGAUGUAGAAUUCCAGGUGUAGCGGUGAAAUGCGUAGAUAUCUGGAGGAAUACCGGUGGCGAAGGCGGCAUCCUGGACCAUAACUGACGCUGAGGCGCGAAAGCAUGGGGAGCAAACAGG
rnacentral:rRNA from 1 species